UCUGACGUCAUGUUGCGCUUGCGCUAUUAAGUAACAAUUUUCCCCGGGCGCGGGGAAAAGUGGGUGAAGAAGCAGGAAGAGCGCCAUCUUUAAUGAGGUAUUAGUACAGGGGAAAAAAGGCAAAGAUAGGGAGAAGGUGUGGGGUGGAAAUGAAUAUAGCUCAGGCGUUUAAUCCUCAGUUAUUAUUCGCUAUGGCCGGGGCGUGCAGCUCCAGACAGAGGACGGCCACCUGGGGGAUGGGCCCCACACCAACAGGGUCAGCGUUCCACAGUGGGAAAGUUAAGGCUUUGCUCACAGGCAGGAGCUGAGAUGUCCGAGUCAUGCUGUUCUCCACAGACCAGUGUGUGCGCUACAGCGACUUGCCCCAUUACAGAUGGUGCACUCCACCAAGUGAGGAGCAGUGAUCUCAGGGGCCUCGUCUCCAGUGCAUUUGGUCGUUUACAGGGAAAGAAAGGCAGAGGUUGCAGCUGCAUGCGUCAUGGCUCCAGCUGCAUAGCUGCAUUCCUUCCAAUACUCACAACAGUUUUCUGAGUGCUUUUUAAAUUGUACUUUCAGGGGGCACAUGUGCCGCUCUGCUGCAUAAAUAUGUUGCAUGGUGUGGGGUUUGGGUUACUUUUGAACUCAUCACCCAGACAGCGAACGUAGUGCUCAGCUUUUCAACCCUUGUACCCCUUCCUCCUUCCCUCUUCCCUUUUGGAGACUCCAGAGUAAAGUUCCAAUGGCAUUAAGUUUGAAUUAAGUUUGACUUACUCAGUUUCACACAGCUUUAUAACCAAAGGCCACACAAUCAUGUUACCUCUCAGGAAAGCAAGGGGCUCUGUAGCGUCUUGGCUGUUGUGUGAGCGAUGUCCACUAAUGCAGCCUUCAUUUCAAGUUCUCCUCUCCUUCCUCCUCCAUUCAGGAUCUAUCAAGGGGAAGGUGAUGGGCUGUGACAUGAGUCACACUCACAGGAUCCCUGUAGCGUGGAAACAGAACAGUGUCUUCUGAUCUCAAGGUGGUUAGCAUGUUUCUAAUUCCCAUGGAAAUUGGUUUGCUAGUGCCUACCACAAAGCUGCUUACAUUUGCGGGGGUGGGGGGGGAUCAAAUGAUCUCACCUGCAUUUUCACUGCUGUGACCUCUUUUCUGGAUCUGAGAGGGAGGACAGCAGGUACCUGUCCCACGUCGUGGGCCACAUCCCUGGCUCUCUGCUUGCAGAAGAGGUACCAGGAUACAGCCCUCGAGAAGCAUAGAGAGGGCACAACUGAGAGACGCUUAAGGAAUAAAGGGAGUAAGGUUAAAGAUCCAGUUGUUACCACCUGAGCCUAAUGUUACCACUAAUGGUGGAUGUCAGACACCAUGUGACCCUGCUGUGCACAGGGCCCAAGAGCUACCCUGAAAGAAAGCAGCAGCUGGGAUUAACCCAGCCUUUAGAUCCAACUUCUUGUUUGUAGGAAGUGCUAAGGAUGGAGGAGUGAGUUAAACACCUCAAACAACAGUGUGUUCAGGAAAAGCUGGGAGGGAAGGGAGGGACACGGGGGGCUCCUGAUUCCAACAUGAGAAGAUUUCAGAGACAGAACCACCAUAUAUGAUGCAUGAUCAUGGUUUUGGGGGAAAAACAGGUAAAAGGUAUUUUCCAAUUUUCCAGACAAUUGGGCGCGCACACACAUGCGCGCGCACGCACACACACACACACACACACACACUAGAUGAUAUAGGAAAUUAAUUUUGUUAGGUGUGCCAAUGAUACUGCACUUAUGCAGACAGCAUCUUUUUUUUUUUUUUUUUAAGAAAUACAUCUUGAAGUACUUGGGGGUGAUAUGUUGUCGGUAAUUUACUUUUAAAUGGUUAACUAAAUAUAUGUAUGCACACACAAAGCAAAUAUGACAAAUACAACCAUUAUUGAAUUUCAGUAGCUGAGUUUAUGGGUGUCCAUUGUACUAUAUACUUUUGCAUAGAUUUUUUCAUCAUAAAAAAUUUAAAAACUGAAAUUGUCAACCUCCCCCCACCCCAAAAAAGCCAAAUUAAAAUACACACGGUUAAUUAUGAGAAUUAACCACUAUUUGAGGAUUAAGUGUGAUUUGUUUCUCUUCCUUCACCCCACUGGCCUCAGGAAUGAAAAACACUUUAAAGGGAGAAAAAAGUAAAACUCUGACCGCGAUCCUCCACCCCAUCCUGUCCUGUCUGCUUCUUGUGUCAGAGCCACUGAGGGAAAAUCACUAUUUAAAUGGUCACAAUGGCUGGGCGCAGUGGCCUACACCCAGCACUUCGGGAGACUGAGGCAGGAGGAUCACUUGAGCCCAGGAGUUGGAGGUUAUGCUGAGCCCUGAUCGUGCCACUGCAUUCCAGCCUGGGUGACAGAGCAAGACCCUGUCUCUAAAGAAAAUUUUUUAAUAAAAACAAAUAAAUUGUCACACAUUCCUAAGGUGCAUUAGACUUUGCUGGGAGACGGCCUUUCUAGUUCACCAUUGAGCUUAGCAUUUCCUGCUGUUAAAAUUAGAAUAACUUUUAUUCAGGAUGUGCUCCUCCGAGAUGAAACGGAUGUCCGAUUCUGGGAGCCGGAGGAACACGCUGCAGUGCACUUCCAGACUCUGGGAGGAGUGGGCAGGCACACAGAAUCUCAGGAAGACGGUCCAGGGCAGCGGGGACAUCCAUCGUGUGCUGACGGUCAGCUCUGACAGCCCGGCUUGAAGCUGCCUUCUAAGGAUAGAGACUGAACAGAGACUCCAUGUGUCCUGGGCCCCAACAGACAAAAUCAGAAUGUGCAGGAGCCUGGGCAAAUGAACCUAUGACCCUGGGCAGCUGGCAGACUUUAAAAGCAAAUUCCAGGUUCAAGCCUGUCUUUUUAAAUAUCUGCCCAAGGCUGCCAUGGACCAAAUUCCUAAAGAUACCUUGUUGCCCUAGAAAUGUCUUCAAAACUCAGUAACCCACUAGUUUUCCCACUUUGUCCAGAGACUUGGCUCCCACCUCCCCGAGCUAUAUGACCUUCCAUCAAAUCCACGCUCCACACAAAGAAAAUAGCACCUAAUUCUGAUGAAAAUGUCUGCCCAUGGGACAAAGCCCUGCAGGGCCCAGCCUUGGCCUCGAGGGAAGGCAGGAUUGGGGGUAUGACACUAGCCCCCCCCCCCCCACAAGAGCUGUGCCUCACCUCACACAACCUCCCUGGUCCUCACUGGGUGAGGUAGAAAUGCCACCGGCUCUACUUCCUGUUGAUGUGCGGACAUUGAUCCUCUCUAGGGUUGAGAACCAGUAUUUAGACCCAGAAAUGGACUUCAUGGCAUCAAGGGAGAAACAAGCAAGAGUAGAAAAUGAACAAAAUGAACAAAACAAACAGGAGGGGACCGCAAUGGACAGUGGUUCACAGAAGAGGGCCUGUUUCAGAAGAAAGAAAAGCCUCUUGGGGGUGGCACACAGGUGAGAGGACCCAAUGGGUCAGGGCACCAAGGAGCCAGCCAGGUGAGCUGGACCCUUGGUGGCACAGGGACCUCAGGAUCUGCAAGAGGAUUCUAUGAAAGCACAUGCUUUAAGAGGCUGCAGGUGAGCCUGCCCGAGAACACCUCCCACACGAGUUGCCCCACGCUCUCCAGGCUUGCCCCCUCCACUGGCUGUUCGGCAGUUCCAGCCCUGAAGCCCCUCUUCACAGGGCCUCCCACCAUCCCCAACCCUGUCCUCACCCACCAGCUUCCUCAGCAAGCAAUUCUUUAAUCAAUUUUAAAGAGUAUUAAGUAUGUUACAGAAUAGAUGGCACUCGUGUGACAAAAAUGAGAAAUCCAAGAACUGAAGUUCAGAAGGCCCAGCCCCAACCACACCCCUGACUUUUCUCCUGUGAAUGGAAGGGCGUUUCAGAACCCCAGUGGUACAUGCUACCAGGGCAGGUCUCCCUUCUGCUUCCAAUGCCUUCUACUCCCCGGGCCCAGGGCUCAGCCAUGGGAGGAGCCAGUGCAGCUGUCACGCGGGCGUCUCCUGUGGGUGUCCUGUGAGGGUGGCUGUUAUGCGGUGGCUGCACAGGAAGCAGCCAUGGUAUCUGGGGUUGGGAGGCAGCAGGGGACCCAAAUCUGGCUCCUGCAAACCCUGGGGACCAUGUCCCAGUGAAAGCACCACCCUGGGCCAAGACCCUGAAACACUAGAGAAGCUUUGGCAAGGUGCUUUCACGUAGAAUGGAGGGAGACAAAAGUGGCUUCCUGGCAUUUGGGAGGGAGGUGGCAGGGGCUGCGUGCAGAGCUGGGAUGCAGGCCUGAAAGCUGCAUCUCCUCCACGGAGAGCACCUCAGACCCUGACCUCAGCAGCAGGCCAGGGUUGGGAAGGGUGCGCCUUCAAGCUGAUCGUGUUUUGAGUACUUCAUAGAACAUGUUGCAGUCGGGCCAGGCUGAGGCUGGGCCCACAAGUGGACCCCACAGAGCACAGCUCAGAUCAGUAGAGAGAGGCCCAGAGUAGGGAGUUGCCCAGGCUGCACUCAUGUUGCUGGCAUAGGCCAUGGCCUCCUGAGACAGUACUCGGGCCACCGCACACCUUACAAAGGAUGCCACCCACCUGGCCAGGGGAGGCCCAGACUUGACACAGAGGCCCCAGAACCACACAGCACCAAACCCCAUCAGGGCCCAGCAGCUUCAAAACAAACUCAGAGCCAAACAGGUGUCUGCCUUGGUGCAAAGAUCCCAACUUCAGCAUCUGACCCCAAAACCCACACCAGAGGGGGACCCCCCUAGGGAAACGCCAGAGGUCAUGGUAGCGGGAGGCGCCUUCCAGAAGGGAGCCCCAACACUCUCACAGUGGCUCAGACCUGGCGCAGGCACAGCCCUUUCCUGCCCAGACUCGGGACGUGGCCUUGGCCUCGAGCCUGCCCAUCCUGAGCAGGCUGUCCCUGGUGGUCUGUGUGAGCUUCUCUGCACCUGUGAUACUUUGCCUCAUUCCUGGGAAAUGCUGCAUACAUAGCCACAACUGAAUCAAGGUUGCCCUUCCUCCCCACCUCAGCCUGCAGUCCCCCAUCAUCACUUGUCAUUCCACCUGCAACAGAACAAACUCAUUCCAGGCAUUCAAGAGCGGGACUCUCAGACCUCACUCAGCAUCUACAAAAUGGGCACAGCAAUGCCAGCCUUGCAGGACUGUGCUAAGGCCCCAAAGGGAGGCAAGGGCAAAGCACAGGUGUGUGACGGGUGUGGCACACACAGGUUUCAGUGCCUGCUGGGGCCCAGCAGGGCAAGGCCACAGGCUGGUGUUGCUGCUCUAAGCCCUUCCACCUGUCCCCUCCCUAAAAAGCAACAGGAGCUCACAUAGAUGUCGCCUGAGCCUAUCCCAGCCGACUGCAGCAGCAGAGGCAGCCGAGCCUCCUUCCAAAGCCCACAGGAACAGGCAGGCAGCAUGGUCAGGCAGCCCUGCCACUUGUCACUGUUUAAAAAUUAGAUUAUUUUUUAAUAACCUAAGAACAAGUACAUAAACAACCUAAAUAAUAAGUUUUCAUUUUGCUCACUUCUAGUUUUAUUUCUCAGCUGAGGUUUUUUGGCAGAAAGUUUAGUUGAAUCCUCAAACACAGCUGGCUGUAUGAGCUGGAGUUUUCCACUUCAGGGAACUGAAAUAUAUUAAUUCAAUCAAAAAUAGUUUACUUCCUCGGGGGAAGUAAACUGAUUUUGUUUUGUUUACCUCCCUCCCAGCCCAGCCUUUCACUGUGCCAAGUCACUGCCUAAAUUUAAUAGCUUGACAUUCUGGGAGGCCAAUGGCCUUCACCUGGGGAGGGAGCGGGGGUCAGCAAGGGGUGCAUUUUCAGCUCACCGUGCUCAAGUUGAGACGGAAAGCGACGGACCUGACGCCCCCUAAGGCUUUCAACCCAGUGGAGUAGAAAGCCCCAGACACUGCAACAUUCCUGCCUGGCAGGCGGUCUCCUCUGUGCCUGGACUGCUCUGAGCUGACUCCACCCCAGGCUGUGCCUGCCUCCGUUUGGUAAAUUAUGACUUUUUUCCCAUGAUGCCCACAUGGAAGCUGCACCUCCUCAGGGUGAGCAGGUACAUGAAGCGCGCACGCAGCCAGACAGCAGGACACGCACGUGACGGGCAGAGGCGAAGCUUCAGAGACGGCACCAGCAGGACCCCAGGCUUCCAGCUGCUGCCUCGCUUCCCCGCAAUCCAAGGUGGAGCUGCUGAGACAGCGGAUGGCGUAUCUAGGAAGCACCACAGCAGCAAGGGGGACACACUCCAGCUCCAACGGGAAUGUGUCCGCAUCACCAGAUGACCCGUGUUCUUGAGGCAACGUGGCAGCAAAAGGUGGGUUUGCCUCAUCAAAGGCCGCCCACACCAGUGCACUAACAUCAGAUUGUCUUGUGUUAAAAAAUACAGAUUGCCAAGAAAAAGUGGCUUUUAAAAUAAAUGCAUUGUUAAAUCUGAUGUUCUCAGGAGUCAACAUAGCAGAGAAGUAAAAGUACAGGGUACUGACGAUAGAUAAAAGCACCAGGUAUUGACAACAAGGAGAUAAAACCCACAUCCAAGAUCUCAGAGACCCUGGCCCAGGCGGGCAGGUGGAACCAGGGAUGGAAGUCCACAGCCGGUCCCUCACCUGCCAGCAGCGUCAUCAACUCUUACCUACCUGCUGAUGCCAUUUAAAAGUAAAACCUUCUCGGCUGUCGCUGUGAAUGAAGCCUGUGGCUUCCCAGGUAGAGUCGGGGCUAGCCGCAGGACUGGAUCAAUAAGGCUGCCAGUACUCAGCGUGCUGCCCUUAGAGGGAGUCCCCGCCCCCAGCAGGUUAAGAACUCCCAGUAACAACAACGGGUGCUGUGCUCACGACCUCAGAACGUGGCAGGCUCCUGGGCCAUCGCAGUGACUCACAGCAGUCCUAAGAGACAGGCCUGCUGCUUCCCGUUGUGCAGGAGGAACAGGGUCUCUGAGGCCGAGUUGCAAACAAACACCCACACGGUGGUGAGUUCAGGACGGGGCCUCACAGGUGGCAUCACCACCACCUCAGGAUGGGCAGAGGGAUGCCUGGCAGGCAGGCACACUGGAUACUAGUUGUGACCUUCCAGUUGUCAGGACCUGUACUGGUAAUCCCAGUCAACAUCGCCUUCCUUCCACAGCAGCUGCUCUUGGCUCCUCACUACACAAGGGUCCCUAGCAGUGUGCCCCGGGGUGUGGCGUCCCUGCUGUCCCAGGGCUGUCAGCCCAGCAAGGAAGAGACGCCCCACAGAAAGAACACCCUGAACACAGCCAGGACGAGAAGGACAACCAGGAAGCUUGGUGUGAGCAUCUGGGCUGAAGGGAGGGCGGCUCCAUGGAACCGUUCCGCUGACCUCUCAAGACAGGAGAAAAAGGGCCACGGAUGAAGUGGUGGUGAUCAGCCCCUAACCUGGACACUUCACAGCCAAAGAAGCUACCGGAGAAACGUGUGGUGCCAGUUGCCUCCCACGCUGGGCCACACCACUCAGCCCAAGUUCUCGGUGGGCUUCAGGAUGCUGCCGGGGGGUGAUGUGGCUCUGAGCACGGACCCGUCCCCGCCUGCCCGCCUGCUGCCUCGCUCCCAAGGCCCCACAUUCCUGCCCAAACCUCACGGGAAAUGUCACUGUCUACACCACCCCCACCACAAACACCCAGAGUUGUCUUCCUGGAGGUGGCAGCUUUUACAGCAACUACACCAGUGAGUCCUGAAUUCCCAGCAGAGGCUGAAUUCCCAGCAGGGGCUGAUGGGCACCAGCUGUAUUCCGCAAGGCCCCUCACCCGCCCAAACCCCGUGCCUCCUGCCGUUAGCUCUUUAUAAUUAAAGUGUUUAAACAGACAAGCACCUUUGCUUAUAGCUAUUCAAGACUAAUCUAAGAUGCAGAAAACCUAAUCUAAGAUUAGGAAGUAUUCAGUAUUUCACAGAUUCACCAAUAUCCUUCAAGCUUCACUAUUUUCUCCUCAAAGCCCUCUGAGAACACUCUGACAUUAUAAACAGAAAAGAGCCUGAAGUCAACAGCCGGGACCCCUUCUCAGGGCUGGUGCUGCGGGCCAAGGCCUCAGUGAAAGGGCCACACUGAGCAGCCUCAGGGCACUGCCGGGCACUGCAGAGACUGCUCGGCUACCAAACAGCGCAGCUCCAAUGUUUGAAGUACUGAGCUGUCUUCUUUCAGUAGAAUUUUACACUUUUGGACAACGGCCAAAAGCUAGUUCACUUUUCUGUUAUUAGCUAAAAGCUUAAGUUUUCAUUUCCAUGUGAUUCUUCCUUCACAGUAGGAAUCUCAAAGGUUCUCAGGUAACAGAGUAGUGCUUUUCCUUAAAUAGGUGCAGUCAACUGGCUGGACUUGCAGCUUCCCUAACAGCAGAGCAGUCCUGAGCCCAGCGGCCAGUGAGAGGUGGUGGCGGUGGCCUGCCCCUGUGCCCCUCAGGGCUGCAGCAACAACCAGAUGUCAAUGCACAAGCCCCAGUGGCAGGGUGAGGGCUGGUGGCCACUGCCAACCACUGACAAAGCCACCACAGCAGCUCUAGUAGGUAUGAAGAACUACAAAACAAUAAAUCACUUAAAUCUGAGGCUGAA